rnacentral:tRNA from 1 species
AAGGAUUUAAGUUAAUCAAAAACUAAUAGCCUUCAAAGCUAUAAAUAAAGGAAAUGCUUUAAGCCUUA